rnacentral:rRNA from 1 species
UACGGGGGAGGCAAGCGUUGUUCGGAAUUACUGGGCGUAAAGGGCUCGUAGGCGGCCAACUAAGUCAGACGUGAAAUCCCUCGGCUUAACCGGGGAACUGCGUCUGAUACUGGAUGGCUUGAGGUUGGGAGAGGGAUGCGGAAUUCCAGGUGUAGCGGUGAAAUGCGCAGAUAUCGGGAAGAACACCCGUGGCGAAGGCGGCUCUCUGGGACGGUACUGACGCUGAGGCGCGAAAGCGUGGGGAGCAAACAGGG